AAUAGAUACCCAGGUAGUCCACGCCGUAAACGAUGUCGACUUGGAGGUUGUGCCCUUGAGGCGUGGCUUCCGGAGCUAACGCGUUAAGUCGACCGCCUGGGGAGUACGGCCGCAAGGUUAAAACUCAAAUGAAUUGACGGGGGGCCCGCACAAGCGGUGGAGCAUGUGGUUUAAUUCGAUGCAACGCGAAGAACCUUACCUACUCUUGACAUCCAGAGAACUUAGCAGAGAUGCUUUGGUGCCUUCGGGAACUCUGAGACAGGUGCUGCAUGGCUGUCGUCAGCUCGUGUUGUGAAUGUUGGGUUAAGUCCCGCAACGAGCGCAACCCUUAUCCUUUGUUGCCAGCGGUUAGGCCGGGAACUCAAAGGAGACUGCCAGUGAUAAACUGGAGGAAGGUGGGGAUGACGUCAAGUCAUCAUGGCCCUUACGAGUAGGGCUACACACGUGCUACAAUGGCAUAUACAAAGAGAAGCGACCUCGCGAGAGCAAGCGGACCUCAUAAAGUAUGUCGUAGUCCGGAUUGGAGU
rnacentral:rRNA from 1 species